rnacentral:rRNA from 1 species
CCUACGGGAGGCAGCAGUGAGGAAUAUUGGUCAAUGGCCGGAAGGCUGAACCAGCCAAGCCGCGUGAGGGAGGAAGGCGCAGAGCGUCGCAGACCUCUUUUGCCGGGGGACAACAGGCCGGCCUCGUCCGGUCCUGAGGGUCCCCGGAGCAAAAGCCUCGGCUAACUCCGUGCCAGCAGCCGCGGUAAUACGGAGGAUGCGAGCGUUAUCCGGAGUCAUUGGGUUUAAAGGGUGCGCAGGCGGGCCUUUAAGCCGUCGGUGACAUCGCGGGGUUGACCCCCGCCGAGCCGGUGGAACUGGGGGCAGUGAGGGCGGCGGAGGCAGGCGGAAUGCGCGGGGGAGCGGUGAAAUGCAGAGAUAGCGCGCAGAACCCCGAUGGCGAAGGCAGCGUGCCGUGACGCCACGGACGCUGAGGCACGAAAGCGCGGGGAUCGAACAGGAUUAGAUACCCGGGUAGUC